CGCAAUGGGCGAAAGCCUGACGGAGCAACGCCGCGUGAGGGACGAAGGCCUCUGGGCUGUAAACCUCUUUUCUCAAGGAAGAAGAUAUGACGGUACUUGAGGAAUAAGCCACGGCUAAUCCCGUGCCAGCAGCCGCGGUAAUACGGGAGUGGCAAGCGUUAUCCGGAAUUAUUGGGCGUAAAGGCGUCCCGCAGCGGCUUUUCCAGUCUGCUGUUAAAGCGUGGAGCUUAACUCCAUCAUGGCAGUGGAAACUGAAAGGCUUGAGUAUGGUAGGGGCAGAGGGAAUUCCCGGUGUAGCGGUGAAAUGCGUAGAUAUCGGGAAGAACACCAGUGGCGAAGCGCUCUGCUGGGCCAUUACUGACGCUCAUGGACGAAGCCAGGGAGCGAAAGGGAUUAGAUACCCCUGUAGUCCUGGCGGCG
rnacentral:rRNA from 1 species